CCGCCGUUGGCCUCAUACACUCCCCCAUAUGUUCAAAAUUCUCAACACCACUACAGCCGACUGCCACCAUUUUUAUAUUGUGACACCGUGCUGGAAAUCACUUUUCAUUCACAGUUUACUGCUGACAUUUUUUCUUGCAGAUCAGCUCAUAUUUGUAACUUUUAAUCAAGUCAACCCAUCCAAUUACAAAAUUCACAUCGUUUCUAUCCUUCUUUACAGUCUACAAAAUCAUUACAGUGGAAUUAUAGUUAAAAACCGACUAAUUAUUUGCAUUAUAAGUAGUAUUCAGCAGAGUUCUUAAAACACCCACAAGUUGUUUGAUGAAAUGUCCGUGUGAGUGUUGUUAAAGUAGGGCCUCUACAAUUAUUGUCCAUAGUAAUGAGUUUUCUUAUCUUGGUGGGGAAUGAUAUAAUAAUGCACCUACUUUUGACAAUAUUUUCUUGCAGAUAUCAUGAUGCAGUAACAUGUGAAACAUGUUGAGAAGAAAGGUGGGAGAAUCAUUGACAAUCUUCUUCAUAUUAAGCAGGUAUCUAUCUUACACUUUGAGUGCCCAUCAUCUGAAUCUAAAGAUACCUGUCAAGGUAUGUCCCUCUCUGCCUCUUUGCUUCAGCCCAACCAAAUCAAUGAAGUCAACAGACCUGCUGAACCAAGGAGUUAUUGGAGAUGGGGCAAAGAUGAAUUCUUUCCGGAACAAUCAUUUCAGAAUUGGAAGAGUUACAGAUCAGCUAUCUCUCAAUUCGGGAUCAGAUUCAAGGAUCGCUUUCUUAACCGUUCCACGGAUAGGUAUGAGCUUGAAGUGCUUGAAAAACAAAGUGAGAACAGCUUGAAACGAUGCCUUACCUGGUGGGAUCUUAUGUGGUUAAGUUUCAGCUCAGUUGUUGGUACUGGAAUUUUUGUUCUUACAGGUCAAGAAGCCCACAACCAUGCUGGUCCUGCAAUUGUCUUAUCAUAUGCAAUCUCGGGGUUAUCGGCGUUACUCUCUGUGUUUUGUUACACAGAAUUCGCAGUUGAAAUUCCGGUUGCUGGUGGUUCUUUCUCUUACUUAAGAGUUGAAUUGGGGGAUUUUGUAGCCUUCAUAGCAGCAGGUAACAUACUAUUGGAAGCGGUUGUUGGGGCAGCUGGAUUAGCAAGAUCUUGGACCUCUUAUUUCGCUACACUUAUUAACCGUGAACCUGAUUCUAUACGUAUAUAUGUUAGCAGCCUUGCAGAAGGUUAUAAUCUAUUGGACCCAAUUGCUGCUGUCGUGCUGUUAAUCACGUCCACUAUAGCAGUAUUUGGUACCCGAGGAACUUCAAAGCUGAACUGGAUUGUAUCUAUUCUAAGUGUAGCAUUGAUAAUUUUCGUUAUUGUAGCAGGUUUCGUGAAGGCAAAUCCCUCAAAUUUAACUCCCUUUGUUCCAAAUGGAACAGGAAGUAUUUUUCAAGCUGCAGCAGUCUUGGCAUGGGCAUAUACAGGUUUCGACAUGGUUGCAACAAUGGCUGAAGAAACUAAGAGACCUGCAACCGACAUACCGAUUGGUUUAAUAGGUUCAAUGUCAAUGAUCACCGUGGUUUACUGUCUAAUGGCAUUGUCACUGUGUAUGAUGCAGAAAUAUACUGAGAUGGAUGUGAGCGCGGCAUUUUCUGUUGCUUUUGAGAGUGUGGGUAUGAAGUGGGCAAAAUAUUUGGUUGCAGUUGGUGCUCUUAAGGGCAUGACAACAGGUUUACUAGUCACCUCACUAGGGCAAGCACGAUACACAACUCAAAUUGCUCGAUCCCAUAUGAUUCCUCCCUGGUUUGCAUUAGUGCAUCCAAAAACUGGAACACCGAUUUAUGCUACACUUUUAGUUACCAUAACUGCAGCAAGUGUAUCUAUGUUCUCAAGUUUGGAAGUUUUGUCAAGUGUUUCUUCACUCAGCACUCUUUUUAUCUUCAUGUUGGUAGCUGUUGCACUGCUUGUGCGGCGAUAUUAUGCUAGAGAUAUUACAUCUAAAUCUGAUUUUCGCAAACUGGUUUUGUUUCUAUCGAUGAUUAUAGCAUCUUCGAUUGGAACAAUUGUUUAUUACAAUCAUACGACUGAUGGAUGGAUUGGACAUCUAAUAACCAUACCAUUUUGGGUUCUUGGGAAUAUAGGAAUCCUGAUAUUUCUUCCUCAACAACGGGUUCCAAAGUUCUGGGGUGUUCCGUUAGUGCCAUGGUUGCCAUCUUUAUCAAUAGGGAUAAACCUUUUUCUUAUUGGAUCACUCGGUUAUGAAGCUUUUGUGAGAUUUGGGGUCUGCACAGUGGUGAUGCUAGUUUACUACUUUUUUGUCGGUCUCCAUGCAACAUAUGACGUCUCUAAUCAGAACCAAGGUGAUCCAGAUACUGCAGAGAGAAAAGAGAACAACAAGUAACAGGCAGUAGGAAUAUAUGUAUAUUUCUUCUUGUGUAGAAUUUGCUUCAGAUUACAAUCAGCAGCAUUCUGCAGUGCCUUGGUCAUUCUUAUAAGUGUUCCAUCACUUGCAGGUGAAGAUUUUCAUUACUGGUAAGUUGAGAUGGGUCUUGCAAAACUGCUCUUGUUAUUCAUAGAAUUACUGGUACUGUUCUGUUAGGAAGUGAUCUCGUGUCUGAUGCCAGUUUAUUGAAUAUUGAAUGGAUCUUUCGAUCUGGUUAAUUUUGAGUGAAAUUGAAGGUGAGAAAUCCAAAUUUGAUUUCAUGAUGUUGGGUGUCAA